CUUUACUGUAACUUGAAAUUGAAGUUGGACUUUACUUGCGCAGUAUAGGUGGGAGGCUUUGAGAAUAUUCUUGCGGGAAUAUUGGAGCCAUCAGUGAGAUACCACUCUGGUAAUGUUAGAUUUCUAACUUUGAAUCAUUAUCUGGUCAAAGAACAGUUUCAGGCGGGCAGUUUGACUGGGGCGGUCGCCUCCUAAACGGUAACGGAGGCGCACAAAGGUUUCCUCUGAACGGGUAGAAAUCGUAUCUAGAGUGUAAAGGCAUAAGGAAGCUUGACUGUGAGACCUACAAGUCGAGCAGGGACGAAAGUCGGUCUUAGUGAUCUGACGGUGCUGAGUGGAAAGGCCGUCACUCAACGGAUAAAAGUUA
rnacentral:rRNA from 1 species